UGGCACUUCAUAGUUUAGAGGAAAACGGCAUUCUAGAAAAAUUGGAAGAUCAAGGAAUUACUCUGGAUUUUCUUAAAAAAGCAGUUGACAAUUUCACAAAAGCAGCUACUGAGUGGCACAAACACAUCAAAGAAGUUGAUUUGGAUAAGUAAUAUGAUAUUUUUAUUCUUUGAACUAACUUUGAAGAUUCACAUAUGAAUCAUAUGUAUCAUCCAAUCAGUGAGUUGAGCUUAAAAAUUUGUACCUUGGAGAAGUUGCAAAUAGUUCUAUCUUUUAUUUCUUUAAUGAAUUUAGCUAAAAUAAUGAAUGUUUUGUUUAAUUCAGAAUUCCCCUGUUACAUCAAUUGUAUUUGUAUACCUGGAAUAAAAGAUCACACAGUUAUAAAGUGGUAUAUAUACUUUAUAAACCUAAAGAAGUUUUGUCAGUCAUUAAAAACCUAAAAUCAAACAAACAUUAAAUUAAAACAAAUCAGGUAAAUACUGAAAUAAACAU